rnacentral:rRNA from 1 species
AUAUUGGACAAUGGGCGCAAGCCUGAUCCAGCCAUGCCGCGUGAGUGAAGAAGGCCUUCGGGUUGUAAAGCUCUUUUGGCGGGGACGAUGAUGGCGGUACCCGCAGAAUAAGCCCCGGCUAACUUCGUGCCAGCAGCCGCGGUAAGACGAAGGGGGCUAGCGUUGUUCGGAAUUACUGGGCGUAAAGGGCGCGUAGGCGGUUUGUUAAGUCAGGCGUGAAAGCCCUGGGCUCAACCUGGGAUGUGCGCUUGAUACUGGCAGGCUUGAGUGCAGGAGAGGAUGGUGGAAUUCCCAGUGUAGAGGUGAAAUUCGUAGAUAUUGGGAAGAACACCGGUGGCGAAGGCGGCCAUCUGGACUGCAACUGACGCUGAGGCGCGAAAGCGUGGGGAGCAAACAGG